UCUCUCAUGCAAGUGGCUGUCUGUGCGAACCAAAUUGGCUGGAGGAAUGUGACCCGUCUGCUUGUGUUUUCCACGGAUGCUGGAUUCCACUUCGCUGGAGACGGAAAACUGGGCGGCAUCGUGCUUCCUAAUGACGGGAAAUGCCAUCUGCAGGAUAACAUGUACACUAUGAGCCAUUACUAUGACUAUCCUUCGAUCGCACAUCUGGUUCAGAAAUUAAGCGAAC